AGUCGAACGACAGCCUGGACUUCGGUCUGGUGGCGAGUAGCGAACGGGUGAGUAAUGUAUCGGAACGUGCCUAGUAGCGGGGGAUAACUACGCGAAAGCGUAGCUAAUACCGCAUACGCCCUUCGGGGGAAAGCGGGGGACCUUCGGGCCUCGCACUAUUAGAAGCGGCCGAAUAUCGGAUUAGCUAGUUGGUGGGGUAACGGCUCACCAAGGCGACGAUCCGUAGCUGGUUUGAAGGACGACCAGCCACACUGGGACUGAGACACGGCGAACUCUACGGAGAGCAACUGAUGGGGAAUUUUGGACAAUGGGGGAAACCACGAAUCCAGCCAUCCCGCGUGUGCGAUGA
rnacentral:misc_RNA from 1 species